UACGUAGGGGGCAAGCGUUGGUCCGGAUUUAUUGGGCGUAAAGAGCGUGUAGGCGGCCAGAUAGGUCCGUUGUGAAAACUGGGAAGGCUUAACCUCCAGCCGGUCGAUGGAAACCAUUUGGCUAGAGUCCGGAAGAGGAGAGUGGAAUUCCUGGUGUAGCGGUGAAAUGCGCAGAUAUCAGGAAGAACACCCGUGGCGAAGGCGGCUCUCUGGGACGGUACUGACGGCUGAGACGCGAAAGCGUGGGGAGCGAACAGG
rnacentral:rRNA from 1 species